rnacentral:rRNA from 1 species
UACGAAGGGGGCGAGCGUUGUUCGGAUUUACUGGGCGUAAAGGGCGCGCAGGCGGCUCAUUUUGUCAGGCGUGAAAGCCCCGGGCUUAACCUGGGAACUGCGUUUGAUACGGAUGGGCUAGAGUGCAGAAGGGGCAAUCGGAAUUCUUGGUGUAGCGGUGAAAUGCGUAGAUAUCAAGAGGAACACCUGAGGUGAAGACGGGUUGCUGGGCUGACACUGACGCUGAGGCGCGAAAGCUAGGGGAGCAAACGGG